rfam:Magnetospirillum moscoviense strain BB-1 NODE_132_length_3679_cov_127.756_ID_9723, whole genome shotgun sequence.
GGAAUUCAUCGUGGUGAUUUGACCGACCGGCUUGCGGCCACGUAAAACCAAACGCUAAAGAGGUCCGGUAGUGGGUCCC